AGUGAACGCUGGCGGUAGGCCUAACACAUGCAAGUCGAACGGCAGCACAGUAAGAGCUUGCUCUUACGGGUGGCGAGUGGCGGACGGGUGAGGAAUACAUCGGAAUCUACUUUUUCGUGGGGGAUAACGUAGGGAAACUUACGCUAAUACCGCAUACGACCUACGGGUGAAAGCAGGGGAUCUUCAGACCUUGCGCGAUUGAAUGAGCCGAUGUCGGAUUAGCUAGUUGGCGGGGUAAAGGCCCACCAAGGCGACGAUCCGUAGCUGGUCUGAGAGGAUGAUCAGCCACACUGGAACUGAGACACGGUCCAGACUCCUACGGGAGGCAGCAGUGGGGAAUAUUGGACAAUGGGCGCAAGCUUGAUCCAGCCAUACCGCGUGAGUGAAGAAGGCCUUCGGGUUGUAAAGCCCUUUUGUUGGGAAAGAAAAGCAGCAGGUUAAUACCCCGCUGUUCUGACGGUACCCAAAGAAUAAGCACCGGCUAACUUCGUG
rnacentral:rRNA from 1 species